rnacentral:rRNA from 1 species
CUGACAAUUAACAGACCAAAACAGGCACAACAACCAAAACAACUGUUACACCAACACUGUCACACCAACACAGGGGUGCUAUAAAGAAAGAUAAAAAGCCCUAAAAGGAACUCAGCAAAACUUGUCUCAACUGUUUACCAAAAACAUAGCCUUUAGCAAUAUAAGUAUUAAAGGUCCUGCCUGCCCAGUGAAACCCCUUCUUUUCAACGGCCGCGGUAUUCUAACCGUGCAAAGGUAGCGUAAUCACUUGUCUCCUAAAUAGAGACUAGUAUGAACGGCUAAAUGAAGACAAGCCUGUCUCUUGGGGCCUAUCAGUGAAACUGAUCUUCCAGUCCAAAAGCUGGAAUAUAAACACAAGACGAGAAGACCCUGUGGAGCUUUAAAUUUACUACCAAUAAACAUCCUGGUAUAAGAUUUUAAGUUGGGGCGACUUCGGAACAAAACAGAACUUCCGAGCACAGAACUACCACUUCUAUCUUAGGCGGACACGCCAAAGAACUAAGUUAGACCCAGUCAAACUGAUCAACGAACCAAGUUACCCCAGGGAUAACAGCGCCAUCUUCUUCAAGAGUCCCUAUCGACAAGAAGGUUACGACCUCGAGUGAUA